rnacentral:rRNA from 1 species
AAAACUGGGUCUAAUACCGGAUAGGACCAUGCUUUAGUGUGUGUGGUGGAAAGUUUUUUCGGUGUAGGAUGAGCCCGCGGCCUAUCAGCUUGUUGGUGGGGUAAUGGCCUACCAAGGCGGCGACGGGUAGCCGGACUGAGAGGUUGGUCGGCCACAUUGGGACUGAGAUACGGCCCAG